rnacentral:rRNA from 1 species
GAUGAACGCUGGCGGCAUGCUUUACACAUGCAAGUCGAACGGUAACAGGCCGCAAGGUGCUGACGAGUGGCGGACGGGUGAGUAAUGCAUCGGAACGUGCCCAGUCGUGGGGGAUAACGCAGCGAAAGUUGCGCUAAUACCGCAUACGAUCUAUGGAUGAAAGCGGGGGACCGUAAGGCCUCGCGCGAUUGGAGCGGCCGAUGUCAGAUUAGGUAGUUGGUGGGGUAAAGGCUCACCAAGCCGACGAUCUGUAGCUGGUCUGAGAGGACGACCAGCCACACUGGGACUGAGACACGGCCCAGACUCCUACGGGAGGCAGCAGUGGGGAAUUUUGGACAAUGGGCGCAAGCCUGAUCCAGCAAUGCCGCGUGCAGGAAGAAGGCCUUCGGGUUGUAAACUGCUUUUGUACGGAACGAAACGGUCCUGGUUAAUACCCGGGGCUAAUGACGGUACCGUAAGAAUAAGCACCGGCUAACUACGUGCCAGCCGCCGCCGUAACAC